rnacentral:rRNA from 1 species
GACGAACGCUGGCGGCGUGCUUAACACAUGCAAGUCGAACGGAAAGGCCCUGCUUUUGUGGGGUGCUCGAGUGGCGAACGGGUGAGUAACACGUGAGUAACCUGCCCUUGACUUUGGGAUAACUUCAGGAAACUGGGGCUAAUACCGGAUAGGAGCUCCUGCUGCAUGGUGGGGGUUGGAAAGUUUCGGCGGUUGGGGAUGGACUCGCGGCUUAUCAGCUUGUUGGUGGGGUAGUGGCUUACCAAGGCUUUGACGGGUAGCCGGCCUGAGAGGGUGACCGGCCACAUUGGGACUGAGAUACGGACCAGACUCCAACGGGAGGCAGCAGUGGGGAAUAGUGAACAAUGGGAGGAAGCGUGAUGCAGCAACGCCGCGUGCGGGAUGACGGCCUUCGGGUUGUAAACCGCUUUCGCAUGUGACGAAGCGUGAGUGACGGUAAUGGGUAAAGAAGCACCGGCUAACUACGUG